GGGGGAAUAGUCCCUCCCCCAGCACAGGAUUGGUCCAUUCAAGACUAAUACCACACCAGGAAGUAGUAGGGAGGGACCCCUAAGGCACACUGUGGGAUGCAGUUCCCCCUGGGCCACAACAUUUUGAAACUCAGUGUAUAUAUGUGAUGUUUCUAUCAUGAAGUCAACAGUGCUCCACCCCUUAGAAUCCAUGUUUCUGUCUGUAUAGCUGUAAAUUCAGUCUAAGAUCCCUUACUAAUACAUUAUAUAUCCUUCUCUUGCUAAUCAAAGUAUAUUCUACUUAAGUCUCAAGCUAAACAAGGUUUUGUACCAAUGCAAAUGGCACAGGGGCAAGUAUGACUUUACCACAAUGACUCAGAUGCCUUCUAAACCUGAAACUUCUUUCAGUUGCUGGGAUCUUUUCAUUUUAAAGCACCCACUGCCAUAUUGCUCUCUUCCUAUUGGAUUUCACAAUGUAAAUUGCAUCUGCUGCCUCAGAGACCCUGCCUCUCCUAACUUAAAACUGAUGAGUAUGUGUGUGCAUGUGUGUCUGUCAAAGACUGAAAAUCAACAUCCCUAUGUAAAGAUGAAAUGGUUCUCCUUUGGGGUCUGUUUUCUGGAAAGACAAAUUCAAUACAAAAGAAAUGCUGACUAGAUGUAAGGAGUCACUCUGAAGAAAUGAGUAAGAUUUUUGAAGACGAGCAAGUAUGGGUGAGUUUUAUCUUCUAAUUUUGCAUUUACCCUACAGAUGGGCAAAACCUGUAAAUUCUAUGAAUAACCUAAAACAC
rnacentral:lncRNA from 1 species